GGAUGGGAGGAAGAUCAGAUGAGGAGAAAGGAAGAGCUCUGAGAAUUAAAAGUGCUAAGACAUGGAACAUCUUCCUGCAGGAGCAGAAUGAGAUCAAGUUGCUAGCUGGAGAGAGUUUUAUCAGUUUUUGAAGAGGCGCUUUGCUGGCCAAGCAAGGUCCUGAGUGCUGCUGUUGCUUCUCUGUCAGCUUCUUCCACUGGAAACUCCAGCCCCCUUCUCUCCUCUACCUUGGAUGAAUAACUGCUGUCUCAAGACCUGCAGGAAUGCCGGAUGGAAAGUGUUCCCUUCCUUUCAGACUGGGUGUGCAUAUGGGGCUCAUUUACAGCUUACUGGCAUGUGCUAGUUGUUCAGACAGCUGAUCGGGCACUGCCUCGGCAUGAGCAGAGGGAAACCAGGUUCCAGGACACAAAAGUAAAGGAGAAGGAAUUUGUGUGGCAAAUGAACGCAGCCGGUAUGCCUGUGCUGGCAAUGCAAAGGUGUUCAGUGGAUCCCAAACUGCAGGAAGACAAUCUGCUCAGCCUCGUAACUAUGCUGCUUUUGUCCAGGCCUCUUCAAACACUCAUCAGACACCCCUACCUCAGAGCAGCCCUGGGAAGCAAAUAGCUCAGGG